UCAAAAUCUGCAGAAUGCAGUGGAAAAGAAUACCCAGAGACAAGGCACGGGUGGUGGGUCACCAAAAGCUGACCUCACCCCAGCAGAGGCCAGCUUUGGAGCUAAAUAAAGGCAGGCCUGUUGGAGGGGAUCCCUGGGGGAAAAGAGACAAGCAUAGGUCCCUCACAAGAUGCCACCCGCUUCAUACAAGUGUCUGGCAGCACUGUGUUACUGUUAAAGCCACCAGCACGAGCACCUGACGAUGCUGAUCCAGUGAGUACUCCAUCAAAGGCAUACUGUAGGCCUGGCAUGUCUUGUCUACUAGCUUCAAUAUGAAUCCGAUUAAAUGUGAUGGGGUCAAGGCCCCAUUUCAUCAGCACAUAACGGCGAUGAUGAUGAGGAGACCAUCUCGCUGGAUUCCAAAAGGCAUAAGGACCCAGAGUCAUUGGUGCACUGGACUGCACAAACAUAAGGAUAAAAUCCCCCUCAGGUGCCCAUGAGGCAGA